rnacentral:sRNA from 1 species
GAUCCUUUUGUAGUUCAUGAGCAUGAUGAUUG